GGCUAUAACACUGUAAUAAGUCAAGGGGUAUGAAUACUUUAUGACUGCACUGCAUAACAUAGGAGUAGUUAGUUAUUUAGCUAAUUAGUUAGUCAUGCAUGUAGUUAACUGUAGUUGUUGGUUUCCUCUUGUUAGAGCCCUGUCAGCUCAGAGGAGGACCUGGAUGUGACAGUGGAGGUGUGUAGGGCUGCUGACAGUAGGACUGUACCAGAGGAGCAGAAGCUGGAGACCAAACACGGGAAGUGUCAGCCUGUACAGGAGUCAGAUGAGAUUGACAUAAACCCCACUGUCAGUCAGCACGCACAAUUUCCAAUGGCCAGUGGUCUACCUGACCUGGCUGAUGUCUCCAGCAUCACGUGCUCACCCGCCCAGCACCAUGAGUGGUUGGGCCAGGAGAGACUGCAACCCAGCCCCCUGAACAGACGGCCUCCGCCCUGCUACAGCACCCCACGCAGCCCAGGUACCAACCAACGCCACCCAGCUACCAGAGUGUUACAUUUAAGCUUCAUUAUACGCAUACAUUUGCCAUCAGCAUUGUUUGCUACAAAGUGCAUCCUACCUGCUACAUGCAGAGGGGAAGAGCGUCUUUAUUCUAUUUUCCCCUACUAUACCGUAUUCAUUGAUUAUGCCUAAGUACAAUAGCUUUGGUCCAGUUUUUCGCAAGUACUCAUUAAAUUGUUGCUAGUGAUUGUACUAAAUGUUCCUCUAAUUACACAAGUUGCUAUUGUUUACAUAGUCAAUGUAGCUAGCUAGAGUUUCGCUAGCGAGUAGCUUUUAAUUCAUAAAUCGUAGUACAAUAUCCAGUGGUGUAUAGUCGAGGCCCUAUGCAACCAAAAUCAACUUUAUUUCAAACAUACAUUACCAGUCAGUUCACACACCUUGCAUUGGUUCCUUGAGUGUGCGUGUUUAACACCAGGAGCAGUACUUUUACAAGUUGAAUUGCAGCAAAAUGUCACUGGUAUACUUGUUUUGGGGUGGUGCAGCGACUGCGCCCAACUACAGAGCCAUGGGGGUCACUGGGGAGCCCAUCCCCCCUCUGCCCAGCCUGCUGGACACCUCCACCUGGGGCAGCACCCGCUCCCUGCCCCCCCACACCGAGAGCUUCGCCAUUGCCAGCCUGGGAGCCAGCACGACAGACCUCUCCAGACAGACCUCACCCUUGAUGAGAGACUCCUCCCUCGAGGAGACUGGGACGCACGUGGGCGUGUCAGAGUUCACCACAGCCAGCUCCGGAGAGAGACGGACCACAGUGACCAGCCAGGAGGGCGUGGGCUCUACCUACACCGUACCCACCACCAGCCAAGAAAGGGAGGAGGUGGAAGAGAGAGAGAGUUUAGAGAAGAAGAACAUGGAGUAUCUCGAAGGGGAGAGAGGGAUGUCGCUGGCUGCUGACAGGAAAGAAGAGUUGGAAAGGUCCGAUCAGGGUAGCUGUGCUGGUGUGGAUGUCGACCUGAUUGAUGAAGAUCCUCUGGAUGCUAGCUCCUCUGUUUUAGAGGGAGAAGAUGAACUUGUGUCAGAUGAGGAAGAGUUGCCUGGCGAAGAGGAGACAGACCAUGAGGAUGAAGAUGUGAUUAAUGAUCAAGUGCUAACUGACGAAGAGGUCUCUGUGGCCAGUACACAGCAGGCAGAGACAUCAGGAGCUCACCAUGGCAGCACACACAGUGAAGGUACUACACUGCAUUACAUCAGCAUUAUAAGAAAAUAA
ensembl:lncRNA